AAUGAACGCUGGCGGCGUGCUUAACACAUGCAAGUCGAACGAGAAAGUGGACUUCGGUCCAUGAGUAGAGUGGCGCACGGGUGAGUAACACGUGGGUAAUCUACCCUUCAAUUUGGGAUAACAUUGCGAAAGUGAUGCUAAUACCGAAUGACAUCCAGAGGUCUGCGGAUUUUUGGAUCAAAGAUGGCCAAUUCUUGAAAGCUAUUGUUGGAGGAUGAGCCCGCGUACCAUUAGCUUGUUGGUAGGGUAAUGGCCUACCAAGGCUACGAUGGUUAGCUGGUCUGAGAGGAUGAUCAGCCACACUGGAACUGACACACGGUCCAGACUCCUACGGGAGGCAGCAGUGAGGAAUUUUGCGCAAUGGGGGAAACCCUGACGCAGCAACGCCGCGUGAGUGAUGAAGGCUCUUGGGUCGUAAAACUCUGUCAGCAGGGAAGAAGUUACAUACGGUUAAUACCCGUAUGUAUUGACGGU
rnacentral:rRNA from 1 species